rnacentral:rRNA from 1 species
GACGAACGCUGGCGGCGUGCUUAACACAUGCAAGUCGAACGGAAAGGCCCUGCUUUUGUGGGGUGCUCGAGUGGCGAACGGGUGAGUAACACGUGAGUAACCUGCCCUUGACUUUGGGAUAACUUCAGGAAACUGGGGCUAAUACCGGAUAGGAGCUCCUGCUGCAUGGUGGGGGUUGGAAAGUUUCGGCGGUUGGGGAUGGACUCGCGGCUUAUCAGCUUGUUGGUGGGGUAGUGGCUUACCAAGGCUUGGACGGGUAGCCGGCCUUGGAGGGUGACCGGCCACAUUGGGCCUGAGAUACGGCCCAGACUCCUACGGUAGGCAGCAGUGGGGAAUAUUGCACAAUGGGCGGAAGCCUGAUGCAGCAACGCCGCGUUCGUGAUGACGGCCUUCGGGUUGUAAACCGCUUUCGCCUGUGACGAAGCGUGAGUGACGGUAAUGGGUAAAGAAGCACCGGCUAACUACGUG